CGCCCUUGAACCUCUUGCCGCAGCCGGAGCAGGCGAGAGGCCUCUCGCCGGAGUGCAUGCGGUUGUGCCGCAGCAGUCUGUCGUAGUGGGUGAAGCUCUUGCCGCACUCCAAGCAGUUGAAGGGGCG